rnacentral:rRNA from 1 species
AGAUUGAACGCUAGCGGGAUGCUUUACACAUGCAAGUCGAACGGCAGCGCGGACUUCGGUCUGGCGGCGAGUGGCGAACGGGUGAGUAAUAUAUCGGAACGUGCCCAGUAGCGGGGGAUAACUACGCGAAAGCGUGGCUAAUACCGCAUACGCCCGUACGGGGGAAAGGGGGGAUUCUUCGGAACCUCU